rnacentral:misc_RNA from 1 species
UUUCCGUAGGUGAACCUGCGGAAGGAUCAUUACCGAGUGAGGGCCCUCUGGGUCCAACCUCCCACCCGUGUUUAUCGUACCCUGUUGCUUCGGCGGGCCCGCCGCAAGGCCGCCGGGGGGCAUCUGCCCUCUGGCCCGCGCCCGCCGAAGACACCAUUGAACGCUGUCUGAAGAUUGCAGUCUGAGCAAUUAGUUAAAUAACUUAAAACUUUCAACAACGGAUCUCUUGGUUCCG